rnacentral:rRNA from 1 species
CAGCCGCCGCGGGAAUACGUAGGUGGCGAGCGUUGUCCGGAAUCAUUGGGCGUAAAGGGAGCGCAGGCGGGCAUGUAAGUCUUUCUUAAAAGUGCGGGGCUCAACCCCGUGAUGGGAAAGAAACUACAUGUCUUGAGUACAGGAGAGGAAAGCGGAAUUCCCAGUGUAGCGGUAAAAUGCGUAGAUAUUGGGAGGAACACCAGUGGCGAAGGCGGCUUUCUGGACUGCAACUGACGCUGAGGCUCGAAAGCCAGGGGAGCGAACGGGAUUAGAUACCCCCGUAGUCCCUGUCUCUUAUACA